CCCCCCCCCCCCCCGACAACCAUCCGCCACGCCCCUCGCCACGCCCGCUGCCCUCGACCUUGUCCACCGCCUUCCCCCGCAUCCCUCCCUCACCAUGCCUGCCUCCUGCUGCACCACGCCCUCCCCUCCAGCACGCCACGCCCGCUCCACGCCCUGGCCCGUGGAUGUGCGCAGUGGGGCAGGCGUCGCGCACGGAGGCAGGCGCCUAGGUUGGGGUGGGCUGACCAAGCCGGUGUCUGCUGAGACUGCCUGGAGACCAAAUGGAAGCUCCCUGGUCCGUGUGUGAAACCAUGAAUUCACUGCUAGAAUGGAAAUGCCGGUACCGGGAACCUGGAAGUUGCCUUUUCAAUGCCGUCUUUCCUGCCAUCCCCUCCAUCCCUCUGGCUGCAACGAUCUUCCCUCUGGACCGGGUGGUCAGGCUCGCUCCAGAGCUGGCCUUGGACUCCGGCUGGCUGAACGGUCCACUCCUUGGUCAGACCUCUUGGAAGGACUGCCCCACCCAUGUUAUAAAAGGAGAAAACGUCACAGUGGGCAGCCCCCAUUCCUGCGUUAGACAGACAGGAAACAGGCGCACAGUUCUGCAUUGCUACCUGCUUGUCAAAUGAGUAUUGGCCACCCCAGUUCUGUGCAGAGAGGAUGCAAAACAGCAGAGUAUCUGUGGUGCAACUUUCUGGAGCAUCAAUUUUACUACAACGUUUGGAAGAAACAAAGUUAAGUAGUUUCCAAGUUACCAUCGGCUUCUCUGCUCCGUUCAAGCGGCCUCUCCUCACGUUCUCUCCUGAACCGAUUCCAUUCCUGCUUCCUCCACUGCACUUCGCUGAAGUGGCUUGUAGCCAGGUCUCCAAUGAUUUCCGUUUUGCUCAAUUCAAGGUUAAGUUCUUGUUCUUAUCUCACUCUUUCAGCUGCAUUCGACACAGAUGAUACAACUGAGCACUUCCUCCUUCCUGAAACACUUUCCUCUGGAUUUCCCAGCCCCUCCCCCUCACGCUGUCUUCUUCCCCUGCCCCUCCCCCACCACAUCUAGUAACCCUCACCCCCUUCUCUUUGCUCUGUGACCCCUCUUCUCAGAGAGAUCCCAUCCAGUCUCCCAGCUUUGAAUGCCAUCUGCUGGUCACCCCCAGGCCUGGGUUCUCUUCCCUGAGGGGAGCACCCAGGAGUCAUCCUUGGCUCUUCCCUUCUCACCCCACACGCAGUCUCACAGCAAGUCCCUGCAGCGUGCAUCCUGAUUGCAGCUUCUCGCUGUCUCCAUUUCUAGAACCGGCUUCAGCUGCCUUUCUCUCUUACUGGUCUCCUGCCAAGGACAGUCUCCUAACCGUCUCCCUGCUUCCUCUCUUGCCCUCCUCCAGCCAUUCUUCACUCAGCAUGCAGAGUGACCUCUUGAAAGCAUGAAGAGCAAGGAUAUGCGCCACCCACCUCCCCAUUCAAACUCUGCCACUGCUUCUCAUUGUGAGAGAAUAAGAGCUUAGACAGCCUGGCCCCUGCCUGCUCCUUCAGCCUCCUCUCCUACCUUCUUGUUGAGACUUACAUGUGAGAUGUUCUGGUAUCUAGAACUGAAAGCAAUCUUAACUCACAAAUAGAUAUCAGAUCAUCGAAUCUAGAGCAAAGGGCAUAGAAGGAAAAGUUGAAGGGAGAAUGAAAGGUGAGAAUUUUUUAAGCGCCAGAAACUAUGAACACAUAACAGAUCUGUAUGAAUAUGCUCAAAAGAAUGUGGUAACAAAGUUAAAAAAAAGUGUGUCAACAGACUUGCAAAGAAGUAGAAAUACUUUUGACCAUAAUUUGCAAACAAAAGCUACACUUAGUACACAUUACAUUUCCGGACGUAAUGCAAUAAAAUUAGAAAUAACAGAAAUAGAGAACUUCAAAAUGUUCAGCUUUUUGGAAAUGUUAAAAUAUUGUUGUAAAUAAGUUAAUUCUUGUGUGAGGGUUCAUAUCCACAAAACAAUUACAGUGCCUGUACACACACGAGCUUGCUGAUGCAUCCAGAUGUUUGCAGUGGUGGGGAAAGGACGAGCUCUCUGACCCAGAAGCUCUUGGAGCGACAGUGCCUGCACACACACGAGCUUGCUGAUGCGUCCAGAUGUGUGCAGUGACAGGAAAGGAGCUCUCUGACCAGAAGCUCCUGGAACGACAGGGUCAGUGCACACACAAGCUUGCUGAUACGUCCAGAUGUGUGCAGUGGUGGGAAAGGAUGAGCUCUCUGACCCAGAAGCUCCUGGAACAACAGGGCCUCUGCACACACGAGCUUGCUGAUACAUCCAGAUGUGUGCAGUGGUGGGAAAGGAUGAGCUCUCUGACCUAGAAGCUCCUGGAGUGACAGUGCCUGUGAACACAUGAGCUCGCUGCUGCGUCCAGAUGUGUAUAGUGGUGGGAAAGGAGCUCUCUGUCCAGAAGCUCUUGGAGCGCCAGUGCCUGUGCACACACGAGCUUGCUGAUGCAUCCAGAUGUGUGCAGUGGUGGGGAAAGGACGAGCUCUCUGACCCAGAAGCUCUUGGAGCGACAGUGCCUGCGCACACACGAGCUUGCUGAUGUGUCCAGACGUGUGCAGUGACGGGAAAGGAGCUCUCUGACCAGAAGCUCCUGGAACGACAGGGUCAGUGCACACACGAGCUUGCUGAUACAUCCAGAUGUGUGCAGUGGUGGGAAGGACGAGCUCUCUGACCUAGAAGCUCCUGGAGUGACAGGGUGAUGUUCAUCGGAACCCCAGCAACCCCCUGUGUCAUUUACCAUCUUGUGACCAGUGGGAGCCGGGUGGAGGUGGCCGGGAACUGUAACUGUUACAGACGCUGGUCAUAAACCCAAGGCCGCCUCCCUUGGUGCCUGCACUUGACCCUGCGGUUGUUUCCUGCACUGGGGUUCCCGGAAGCCCCACCGCUGGACCUGUGCUGGUGGACAGGACCAGACUGCCCUCUGAUGGCAGCAGUUUGAAAACUGGCACCAGCAGCUGCCAUGGAAAAAAGUGAUGGCCCAGGGGACUGUGUGACCCUCCCACGGAGGGAUCAGGAUCCCUGCAGGGCUCCCGGGCAGGGCUCAGAGCCCAUCUGCUUCCUGCCCUUUCUCCUCUGCUGCUCUCCUCUGACUAUGGGAGUCGGGGAAGCAAACAGUCAUGAAAAAUGGCACUUCUAUUGGCUGUGUCUGUAUGUGGAAGUGCACAAAUGAAGGAAGAUUUUAAAGCAGAACACAGAACAAUUUGUGCUGUCUGAUUAAAAUCUGUCAGAUAUGUUCAUUAACAAGUUUGGAAGAGAAUUUGGAAAUGGCUGAAAUUUUUAAUAAAGUUCAUUCUUUUAGUUUGUUUGAAUUUAA